AGAGUUUGAUCCUGGCUCAGAUUGAACGCUGGCGGCAUGCCUUACACAUGAANGUCGAACGGUAACAGGUCUUCGGAUGCUGACGAGUGGCGAACGGGUGAGUAAUACAUCGGAACGUGCCCGAGAGUGGGGGAUAACGGAGCGAAAGCUUUGCUAAUACCGCAUACGAUCUACGGAUGGAAGCAGGGGACCGCAAGGCCUUGCGCUCAUGGAGCGGCCGAUGGCAGAUUAGGUAGUUGGUGGGAUAAAAGCUUACCAAGCCGACGAUCUGUAGCUGGUCUGAGAGGACGACCAGCCACACUGGGACUGAGACACGGCCCAGACUCCUACGGGAGGCAGCAGUGGGGAAUUUUGGACAAUGGGCGCAAGCCUGAUCCAGCCAUGCCGCGUGCAGGAUGAAGGCCUUCGGGUUGUAAACUGCUUUUGUACGGAACGAAAAGACUCUUUCUAAUAAAGAGGGUCCAUGACGGUACCGUAAGAAUAAGCACCGGCUAACUACGUGCCAGCAGCCGCGGUAAUACGUAGGGUGCGAGCGUUAAUCGGAAUUACUGGGCGUAAAGCGUGCGCAGGCGGUUAUGUAAGACAGAUGUGAAAUCCCCGGGCUCAACCUGGGAACUGCAUUUGUGACUGCAUAGCUAGAGUACGGUAGAGGGGGAUGGAAUUCC
rnacentral:rRNA from 1 species